UCGAAAUCUUGUGAUGUAUAUUCGAAAUCUUGUGAUGUAUGUUCGAUAAUCUUGUGAUGUAUAUUCGAAAUCUUGUGAUGUAUGUUCGAUAAUCUUGUGAUGUAUAUUCGAAAUCUUGUGAUGUGUGUUCUACAAUUCAGUGAUGCGUGCAAUAAAAUUGCAUGACGCAACAGAAAAGUAAGGACAAUUUUCAUUGGUUAGAAAUAACGAAAGUAGCCGGAGCGGUCGUAAUGCACACAUUGACACAACUUCGCAAGCAUGAAAUUGGCGAAUUCAACCUAAAGUCAAAAUUAUAGGAACUUUACAUAGGUCUACAGUUUUAAUUUUGGACUCAUGCACUAGGAAUAUCAUAUCAGCAGAAUUGUGCCACUGAAUCAAAGGGAACUCUUUUUUUUUUAGUAGCCUCCCCUUUUAAAGAUCCAAAAUGGUGAUUUUACAGUGCGGCAUGCAGUCUGGUCAUCAACGAAGAGUUUUGACACCUGUAAUACCCAUAUUUCUACCAUUCACCUCUGUAACCUUUGUUGAGUUCAUCAGACUGUCCAAGACAGGAAGUUGAGGAAUAAAGUUGACAGGACAUCCUGAACUGUCCUCGCUACCAGCUUAUGAGGGAACCAGCUGCAGUGGACAAAGUACGUUACAUCAUAGGAUAAUAGCAUUGAAUUGGAUUCUUGAACCAGAGCCAUGUGAACCUGGUCCACCUGUACCUCUCAUUGAAGACCUGUUAACAUCACCAGAGUAUGUUCAUUCUGAUACCCCUAUGGUAUGGUUACAGCAUGCAUUAUCCCUGAAUCCAUUAAAAGAGCUGCAUUGGCAACGAAACAACCCAAUGUGGUCGAUUGUAAGGAAAUAAAGCAUAUCAGCUUCCAACUUUGGUGCAGUUCUCAGUUCUAAGCAAAGGCGAUUGACAUUGUCACUGAAGAAACAGCUGAUGUCGGCUUACAAUCUGGAGUCCAUCAAGGCUGUUGCAUGCGGUAUCACUCAUGAAGAUGAUGCUUUGAGAAAGUAUGAAAAGGACUUUGAUGCAGCUGUAGAGCAGUCAGGAUAUGGUUGCAUGAAUCCGGAGUGUUGGGAGCUUCACCUGAUGGCUUAGUUGUUCGACCACCAACAUGCAGUGUAUUUUAUCAAACUCCAGAAGCCAAAGACGCCAUUCCUGAUAUUGUAGAGGUGAAGUGUCCAUAUACAGCAUCGUCUUCAACAGUAGCAGAUGGGGCACAAAAUUUGAAGGAUUUUUCAUAGAUCUUAAACAAGAUACCCUGUGCCUGAAAACCAGUCACCCAUACUAUCAUCAAAUUCAAGGCCAGCUACACAUAUGUAUUAACAAAACAUUCUGCGACUUAAUUGUGUGGACAAGAGUAGACUGCAUUGUGAUUAGAAUAGUAAAAGACAUUGAAUGGACAGCAAAUGUUCCAAAGCUGAUAGAUUUCUACAUUAACAUUUUCAUUCCAGCACUGAUGGAAAACUGAGUUCUGGUUUGAACUUCUUGACACUUAGUUUUGUACCUCUAGAAUUUUCUAACAAUGGAAAAUGGGUAAUCAUGUUAAAUGUGUUGAAUGUUCCUAAGUCUCAUAAAUGUAUGACAUGAUAUGUCACAAUCCAUCAUAAAACUUCUGGCUUAUAAGACUAUUUUAAAUAGCAAUGAUGAUUAAUAAAAUCUAUGUACUACAUAAAAAAAGAAUAUCAAAAUUUAGAAUCAUUUUAUUAAUGAAUUGAAGAUGUUAUUCUCAAAGUGAAAAUGUAACAUUUUUGUCUUUCUUAAUAGAUAAAUUGUUGAAAACAUGAA